GUGAGGAAUAUUGGACAAUGGGCGCAAGCCUGAUCCAGCCAUGCCGCGUGCAGGAAGACGCAUCUAUGGUGUGUAAACUGCUUUUGUACGGGAAGAAACACUCCCUCGUGAGGGAGCUUGACGGUACCGUAAGAAUAAGGAUCGGCUAACUCCGUGCCAGCAGCCGCGGUAAUACGGAGGAUCCAAGCGUUAUCCGGAAUCAUUGGGUUUAAAGGGUCCGUAGGCGGUUUAAUAAGUCAGUGGUGAAAGCCCAUCGCUCAACGAUGGAACGGCCAUUGAUACUGUUAGACUUGAAUUACAAGGAAGUAACUAGAAUAUGUAGUGUAGCGAUGAAAUGCUUAGAUAUUACAUGGAAUACCAAUUGCGAAGGCAGGUUACUAACAAUAUAUUGACGCUGAUGGACGAAAGCGUGGGUAGCGAACAGGAUUAGAAACCCGGGUAGUCC
rnacentral:rRNA from 1 species